rnacentral:rRNA from 1 species
CUGGGUUUGACAUGCACAGGACGCCGGCAGAGAUGUCGGUUCCCUUGUGGCCUGUGUGCAGGUGGUGCAUGGCUGUCGUCAGCUCGUGUCGUGAGAUGUUGGGUUAAGUCCCGCAACGAGCGCAACCCUUGUCUCAUGUUGCCAGCACGUCAUGGUGGGGACUCGUGAGAGACUGCCGGGGUCAACUCGGAGGAAGGUGGGGAUGACGUCAAGUCAUCAUGCCCCUUAUGUCCAGGGCUUCACACAUGCUACAAUGGUCAGUACAGAGGGUUGCCAACCCGCGAGGGGGAGCUAAUCUCAUAAAGCCUCUCGUAGUCCGGAUCGG